GUGCUGAGCUCAUGGCUCCUGCUUGAUGAGCACUUGUGUUCCCCAGGGUGAUUGUGAGGCCUGGUGGAUGGCAACACCAGCAAUUAAAAGUGAUAUUGCUUCCAAAUUAAAGCGUUUUGUACGUGGCCAGUUCUGUUUAAUUAAUUAGAGCAGACUGUUGGCUCUCAGCCCAUGUGCCUGAACAGCUGCUUCUGCUGCAAAGUCAACAUCAGUUGCUACUGGAGUGGCACUUCUAACUGAAAUCUCCGUGGGGGGAUUAUGCUGCAAGAACCAGUGCUAUUUUAAUCCCAGAUAAGAACACCUACCCGAUGGCCAGCGGGCUUUCAGUCAUACUCUGGACUGGUAAUAAAACAGAUGGGCAACGCACACUUGAGGCCACUCAGCAAAUCAUGGACAUUAAAAAUCAGUCAUUGUCUAGAUUUGGAAAAUGACACGUAUAUUAUAAACACCAUCAUGAAAGAGACAUGGGCACUUUGGAGAAAAAUAACACUCAUCUGGAAGGUGGGAGACCUGACACCCAAAUUGGACAAUAGCCCCAGCAAAGUUCCUGAACACCUGACUGUCCUUCGAGUGCUCCCUACUCCCUAGAGUUUCACAAGGGGUUAAGGCAGGUUUAGCCUGUGUCUCAGUGUGAAGUGAAAGCCUGUGUCAAAAGUCGAUAUUUCUGGCAAGGAGAAUGGCUUUAUUCCUCUAUAGCUGCAAUCCGCUAAAUAGAUGUACAUGAACAAAAACAAAGCGGCGAAUGACAAGGGUCAGACUCCAAACAAACACAUGUACAAUUCAGUUACUCUGGUACGUCUUUCCUAGAGGUGCUGAAGUUUAUAAAUUCCCUGCCCUUCACCUCACAGGUGGACAUGAUUUCGUGCCCCACAUGUACAACCACAAUCUAUCCAAGACAACAGUGGAUGCACAGAAAGGAUGGCAGCCCUGGCUACCACCUAAUUUAAAAGGAACACAGCCUUUUGAACUGCGGCAUGCUAAAGAAAGCUUAAAGCAUGCUCUACUUUCCCCACAAGUCUUACAGACUGUUCUUCAAAGUGUCAAACGUGUGGAGCCAACAUACCGCCAAAGUAGGGCCGGAGGUAUUUGUUGUAUCCCAUGGUGAGGUUCUCAAAUCCAGGGAGGGACCUUGUGUCGCUGCUCUGCAAGUUGGAUACGUGACCCAGGGAGCACCUUCU